rnacentral:rRNA from 1 species
CCUACGGGUGGCAGCAGUGGGGAAUAUUGCACAAUGGGGGAAACCCUGAUGCAGCAACGCCGCGUGAAGGAGGAAGUAUUUCGGUAUGUAAAGCUCUAUCAGCAGGGAAGAAAAAAGAAGUAACCGUAAAAGAAACCCCCGGCUAACAACGUGCCAGCAGCCGCGGUAAUACGUAGGGGGCAAGCGUUAUCCGGAUUUACUGGGUGUAAAGGGAGCGUAGACGGAAAGGCAAGUCAGAAGUGAAAGCCCAAGGCUCAACCAUGGGACUGCUUUUGAAACUGUUAAACUAGAGUACGGGAGAGGUAAGAGGAAUUCCUAGUGUAGCGGUGAAAUGCGUAGAUAUUAGGAGGAACACCAGUGGCGAAGGCGUCUUACUGGACCGAAAAUGACGUUGAGGCUCGAAAGCGUGGGGAGCAAACAGGAUUAGAUACCCGAGUAGUC